rnacentral:rRNA from 1 species
CACAUGCAGUCGACGCCCCGCAAGGGGAGUGGCAGACGGGUGAGUAACGCGUGGGAACAUACCUUUUCCUGCGGAAUAGCUCCGGGAAACUGGAAUUAAUACCGCAUACGCCCUACGGGGGAAAGAUUUAUCGGGGAAGGAUUGGCCCGCGUUGGAUUAGCUAGUUGGUGGGGUAAAGGCCUACCAAGGCGACGAUCCAUAGCUGGUCUGAGAGGAUGAUCAGCCACAUUGGGACUGAGACACGGCCCAAACUCCUACGGGAGGCAGCAGUGGGGAAUAUUGGACAAUGGGCGCAAGCCUGAUCCAGCCAUGCCGCGUGAGUGAUGAAGGCCUUAGGGUUGUAAAGCUCUUUCACCGGAGAAGAUAAUGACGGUAUCCGGAGAAGAAGCCCCGGCUAACUUCGUGCCAGCAGCCGCGGUAAUACGAAGGGGGCUAGCGUUGUUCGGAAUUACUGGGCGUAAAGCGCACGUAGGCGGAUAUUUAAGUCAGGGGUGAAAUCCCAGAGCUCAACUCUGGAACUGCCUUUGAUACUGGGUAUCUUGAGUAUGGAAGAGGUAAGUGGAAUUCCGAGUGUAGAGGUGAAAUUCAUAGAUAUUCGGAGGAACACCAGUGGCGAAGGCAGCUUACUGGUCCAUUACUGACGCUCAGGUGCGAAAGCGGGGGGAAGGAACAGGAUUAUAUUCCCUGGGAGGCCACGCCCG